rnacentral:lncRNA from 1 species
CUUUACAGAUUUGAAAUCGGCCUUUUAUAGCCGGAAUGGAGAAGAAAAGAAAAGAAGAAAAAAUCCAAAGAAAUCUAUUCUGUUAUUUGUUGGCCUAUUGCUGCCCGAUUUUUGAUAUUCUGUUCUGCUUUCUCUUUUUUGUCGUAUUGUUUGUUGUCGCAGGUAUAACGUGGCAUGAAGCGGCGCAUGUUGGGGAGGGUCGUGGUGCGAGAUUCGCGGCGGCGAGCGAGGACGAGCAGUGCCAGCUUGCUGCGGCGCUAAGCAGAAGCUAGGGUUUCUGCUAGUCUAUUUUUUUGUGGGCUAGGUUUAGGAUUAUUGGGUUGAAAAGG